rnacentral:misc_RNA from 1 species
AAACCUCAACCUCCUUGGUUUCUUCUUGGAGACCAAAGCAGGCUUGGACUUUGGAGGCCAUUGCUGGUGCCUCGCUUUUGAAGGCCAGCUCCUCUUAAACAAAUUAGCAGGGUCCUCUUUGCUGAUCCUCGACAUGUGAUAAGAUGCUUCCGUGUCUCGGUUUCUGGCUCUGUUGCCUUUGGGACCCGCUUCUAACCGUCUUUGUGAAGACAAAGUUCGAGCAUGUCUCCCUUCUCGGGAAGCUCCCUCGACCCCACGAAC